rnacentral:rRNA from 1 species
AUUGAACGCUGGCGGAAUGCUUUACACAUGCAAGUCGAGCGGCAGCACGGGGGCAACCCUGGUGGCGAGCGGCGAACGGGUGAGUAAUACAUCGGAACAUGCCCAGUCGUGGGGGAUAACACUUCGAAAGAAGUGCUAAUACCGCAUACGUCCUGAGGGAGAAAGCGGGGGAUCUUCGGACCUCGCGCGAUUGGAGUGGCCGAUGUCAGAUUAGCUAGUUGGUGGGGUAAAGGCCUACCAAGGCAACGAUCUGUAGCUGGUCUGAGAGGAUGAUCAGCCACACUGGGACUGAGACACGGCCCAGACUCCUACGGGAGGCAGCAGUGGGGAAUUUUGGACAAUGGGGGCAACCCUGAUCCAGCCAUUCCGCGUGAGUGAAGAAGGCCUUCGGGUUGUAAAGCUCUUUCAGCGAGGAGGAAAGGUUGAUGCCUAAUACGUAUCAACUGUGACGUUACUCGCAGAAGAAGCACCGGCUAACUCCGUGCCAGCCGCCGCCGUAACAC